rnacentral:misc_RNA from 1 species
UAUCAAGCUUCUUUCUCUGUUUUAAAUGCUUUUGUAUGGAUUCAACAAGUCUGACGUGAGCCCCCUCCCUUCCUUUUAUUUCCCCUCAUCUUUAGGCUUUUCCCUUCUCUACAUAUAUUCACUUCUUCACUUUCUUUUCAUUCAUUCUUCAAAUUUUCAUUUUAAAAAAAUGGCUCAAUUUUGCUUAUUUCUUCUUUUAAUCUCUCUUGUUUCUGUCCCCUGUGUUCUCUCUCGUUCUUUGUCAUCUUCUUCACAUCCUCACACCCAAAUCUUCGAUGUUGCAGCAUCCAUUGAGAAAACUGUUCAAGUUCUUACUCCUGCUACACAAAGUUUUCAACAAGAAGCAAUUAAGAGUGCCCAUUUUAAUUCUUCUUCAAUAUCUGUAUCAAUUUAUCCUCGUUCAGCUCUUGUUAAGCCCCGCCAUAAAGAUUAUGCAGCUCUCACUCUUUCUCGACUUGAACGUGAUUCGGCUCGAGUUUCUUCACUCACCAUGAAGCUCCACCUCGCGUUAAACAACUUUAAUCACUCGGAUCUCAAGCCGGUGGAGACCAUGGUGCAGCCUGAGGACCUACAGACUCCUAUUACCUCUGGAGCUAGACAGGGGAGCGGUGAGUACUUUACUCGGCUCGGCUUGGGUCAACCGGUUAAGCAGUAUUAUAUGGUGCUUGACACUGGCAGUGACAUCACUUGGGUUCAAUGUGAGCCGUGCUCUGAUUGUUAUCAGCAAUCGGAUCCAAUUUUUAGCCCGUCGAGUUCUUCUACAUACAGUCGGCUCUCUUGCGACGCAGCUCAGUGCUCGGCUCUUGAGGUUUCGGCUUGUGCUAGUAGUCAGUCGUGUCUCUACCAGGUCUCUUAUGGAGACGGCUCGUUCACUGUUGGAGAGUUUGCAACUGAAACGGUGUCGUUUGGUGACUCUGGUUCGUUCUCUGAAGUUGCUAUAGGUUGUGGCCAUGAUAACGAAGGGCUAUUCGUCGGUGCCGCUGGCUUGAUUGCUUUAGGCGGCGGCUCUUUAUCUCUACCAACUCAAAUCAAAGCGUCGUCGUUUUCCUACUGUUUCGUAGACCGUGACUCUGCUUCAUCCUCAACGCUGGAUUUUAAUUCAGCCCGACCCGGUGACUCCGUAAUCGCACCGUUGCUCCGUAACUCGAGAAGGAGCACUUUCUUCUACGUCGGACUCACCGGAAUCAGUGUCGGUGGGCAGAUGCUGUCGAUUCCGGCGUCGGUGUUUCAGGUGGACAGAAGUGGUAGCGGCGGGAUAAUUGUGGAUUCCGGAACAGCGGUGACUCGGUUAAAGAACACUGCUUACAACACUCUACGUGACUCGUUCAGGAAGUACACUCAGCAUUUACCUUCCGCCGGGCAAUUCGCACUGUUCGAUACUUGCUACGACUUGUCGUCGAUGAAAAGAGCGAGUGUUCCAACGCUGUCGUUCCAUUUCUCCGGCGGUAAAGCAUUGCCAUUGCACCCGAAAAAUUACCUAAUCCCGGUGGAUUCGUCGGGAAAAUUCUGCUUGGCUUUUGCUCCGACGGAUGGGUCGCUGUCAAUUAUUGGAAACAUACAGCAGCAAGGGACACGUGUCAGUUAUGACCUGGCCAACAAUCUUGUUGGAUUUAGCCCCGACAAAUGUUGAGUAAGAAAUAGUAACACACUCUGCAUCUCCAUUCUCCAGUAACUGCUUUUACCAAUAUUAAUUAUUAUUGUAAAAAUAUUAAAAGCAGUAUACUUUGUUGGAAGAGAAAAAAAAAAUAAAAGAAGCAAAUGAAGGGUAGGUGAUGGAUAAUGAAUUUAUAUUAAUUAUGGAUGGUAGGGUUGUUUUUUUUUAAAAUUAUGAAUGUAAUGGGUGUAGUUUUUUAAUUACUCACAGGAAAUUUGAAAGGCGAGAGAUUGAAAAGUAGUUGGAAAUUAAAUGAUUGUACUACUGUAAUUAUUAAUUAAUAAUACUCCUGUAUAAGGUUGGAAAGGAAGAUGAGAAUGGUUG